UACGUAGGGUGCAAGCGUUAAUCGGAAUUACUGGGCGUAAAGCGUGCGCAGGCGGUUCGGAACGAAAGAUGUGAAAUCCCAGGGCUUAACCUUGGAACUGCAUUUUUAACUGCCGGGCUAGAGUAUGUCAGAGGGGGGUAGAAUUCCACGUGUAGCAGUGAAAUGCGUAGAGAUGUGGAGGAAUACCGAUGGCGAAGGCAGCCCCCUGGGAUAAUACUGACGCUCAUGCACGAAAGCGUGGGGAGCAAACAGG
rnacentral:rRNA from 1 species